rnacentral:lncRNA from 8 species
GUGUUUAUGUAAUUAUGUUAUUUAGUUGUCUUUUUCAUGUCAGUCCUCUUUUAGGAAAUUGUAUAAUGCCAAGGCUGGACACCAAACUGCCCCAACCUGGUCAUGGCUAGACAGAACACAGUUGAUGUCAAAUUUACGUCAAAAGGAAAAUGUUGCAUUUUAGGUGGAGACAGAGGACUUUAUAGAGCUGAUGGGUCCUGAUACCUUAGCAAAGAUUGGAAAUUAAAGGAGUGAAUGGACGCUUUCAGAGAUAGUUCUUAGACGAACUGUAAAUCAACCAACCAACCAGCAACCCAGAAA